rnacentral:misc_RNA from 1 species
GAAAUGCGAUAAGUAAUGUGAAUUGCAGAAUUCAGUGAAUCAUCGAAUCUUUGAACGCACCUUGCGCUCCUUGGUAUUCCUUGGAGCAUGCCUGUUUGAGUAUCAUGAAAUAUUCAAAGUAAAUCUUUUGUUAACUCAAUUGGUUUCUACUUUGGUAUUGGAGGUCUUUGCAGCUUCACACCUGCUCCUCUUAGUUCAUUAGCUGGAUCUCAGUGUUAUGCUUGGUUCCACUCGGCGUGAUAAGUUAUCUAUCGCUGAGGACACUGUAAAAGGUGGCCAAGGUAAAUGCAGAUGAACCGCUUCUAAUAGUCCAUUGACUUGGACAAUACUUUUAUGAUCUGAUCUCAAAUCAGGUAGGACUACCCGCUGAACUUAAGC